AUCUGACAAAUGUUUUAAAUGUUACACUCAUGAUCUUAUUAUCCAUUAACUUUGUCUUGCUCACUAUGCUUAAGGUUAGAGAGAACAAAUACACUUUUGGUUCUGUUGGUGUGUUCCACCAACAGGGCCCACGCACUUGAUCUCUGCCUUGUCUUUAUGAGUAGGUACACUUCGAGCAAAAUAUACAGGACUUUUACAACUCCCAGACUCCACCAAGUGAAGUACCUAGAUCUACGAGCACAAACACACUGGAGAUACUGGACACUCAGGCAAUCACUGCCCUGAGAUGCUUGAGGACGUAACUAUUGGAGUAACCCCG
rnacentral:lncRNA from 1 species